AUUGAACGCUGGCGGCAUGCUUUACACAUGCAAGUCGAACGGCAGCACGGGAGCUCGCUCCUGGUGGCGAGUGGCGAACGGGUGAGUAAUGCAUCGGAACGUACCCAGUAGUGGGGGAUAGCCCGGCGAAAGCCGGAUUAAUACCGCAUAUUUCCUGAGGGAGAAAGCGGGGGACCUUCGGGCCUCGCGCUACUGGAGCGGCUGAUGUCGGAUUAGCUAGUUGGUGAGGUAAAGGCUCACCAAGGCGACGAUCCAUAGCUGGUCUGAGAGGAUGAUCAGCCACACUGGGACUGAGACACGGCCCAGACUCCUACGGGAGGCAGCAGUGGGGAAUAUUGGACAAUGGGCGGCAAGCCUGAUCCAGCCAUGCCGCGUGAGUGAUGACGGCCUUAGGGUUGUAAAGCUCUUUCAACGGUGAAGAUAAUGACGGUAACCGUAGAAGAAGCCCCGGCUAACUUCGUGCCAGCAGCCGCGGUAAAGUCAG
rnacentral:rRNA from 1 species